rnacentral:rRNA from 1 species
AUGAGUAAUGCUGCAAUAUCUAUUUGCUCUUGGAAUGUACAUGGCUUGGGUGACGAUGCCAAGUGCUAUGACGUCCUAUCUGAAUUGCUCGCGAUCAAACCUCACAUUGCCCUCCUGCAAGAAUCAAAACUCGAUACUUACUCCGACACCAAACUAAGAUCAUUCUUACCACGUCACCUCGACCAAGUCUUCUCGUUACCUGCCAUUGGCACGGCUGGCGGCACUAUUUCUGCCGCUAACACAAUUUCUCUCCAAGUUAUGUCGUACACUCACCUCACCUUCUCCUCCACCCUAAUUCUAAAAUCAAUGGCAUGUGCUCGCAACAUUGCCAUUACCAAUAUCUAUGCUCCCUCCUCACGUGCGCCCAAACAAUCCUUCCUGGAUGAGCUCUUAGCUAUCUCACAACCGGAUGAUUCUCCCUAGUUAAUUGUUGGAGACUUCAACCUCCUUCGCUUCCCCUCCGACAAAAACAACAAUGCCUUUAGACAGUCAGAGGCCAAUGUGUUCAAUCAAACCAUAGACGACCUAGCUCUUAUCGAGCUGCCACUCCUUGAUCGCCAAUUUACAUGAUCAAACAAUGGAGCAACGCCCACCUUAGAACGGAUCGACCGUGCUUUUUUUAACGUAGCUUGGGUCGAUGCCUUUCCUAACACAUCUCUAUCAUCGCUCACACGAUUCACGUCCGACCAUGUCCUCUCCUCAUACACAACACCACAAAGAUCCCUCGGUCUAACUUUUUCAAAUUUGAGCCUGGUUGGGCCAAUUUCCGUCCAUGUAAUGAUAUUGUUAGGAAAUGCUGGGCACCAACCCAGCCCACAUCAGCCAACUCGGGCGCCACCCUUGCUUCCUCGCUCAAAAAAUCACGGGAGUGCCUCAAAAAAUUGGCACGUUCACGCAUCCCUACACCCCUCCGCGAAUCUCAUUGCAAAACUGCAAUCUCUGCCUUAG